rnacentral:lncRNA from 1 species
GCUCGGGGAGCUCCGCUAGUUGGUGUUUGACGCUCUGUAUCAUAAUCCUCACUUCUGCCCUCUGUGUAUUCUAGGUUGGGGCUUGUCCCGCACCUAAGGCAAGAGGAUGGUGGCUGCAAAGAAGACGAAAAAGUCUCUGGAGUCAAUCAACUCUCGGCUCCAACUUGUUAUGAAAAGUGGAAAGUACGUGCUGGGGUACAAACAGACUCUGAAGAUGAUCAGACAAGGCAAAGCGAAAUUGGUUAUCCUCGCCAACAACUGUCCAGCUUUGAGGAAAUCUGAAAUAGAAUACUAUGCCAUGUUGGCUAAAACUGGUGUCCAUCACUACAGUGGCAAUAACAUUGAAUUGGGCACAGCGUGUGGAAAAUACUACAGAGUAUGCACACUGGCUAUCAUUGACCCAGGUAUGCUUUUAAAAUUAUAUUUUUUUUCUAAUGUAUGUACUUAUUAGGCAGUGGCUUUGGUUCCUGAGUUCAGACCAUUAGAACUUCAGUAUUGAAAAAGAUAUGCCAUAAUUUUAUUUUGCAAAGAAUUGACAGUGCACAUCAGUACAUUGUAAUUGGCUUUUCUAUAAAUACAAAGAAAAAUUUUUUUAACUUUGUUAGGAGUUUUGUUUAAUGAAGUGAGGCCAGCCUGGCCUACAGAAUGAGUUCCAGGACAACUGGGGCAACACAGUGAAACUAUUUGUGUCUCUUCCCCCUCUUGACCCCUCUUACCACACCCCACAUCCUUGGGAAGAAGUGUUUGUUAGAAGGUGAAAAUACCAGGCCAGAUAAAGAGUCAUCUCAUUUUUGCUUGGGAACAAAUGCUUUGUGGUGAAUGCCCACAAAUACUCGUCAUCCUGUGUUUUGAGCUUAGACAUUUUAGUUGCCUGGUAGAACAUGCGAAUAUUCUCGCUGUUCUGAUUUUGUGAUAAUCAGGACAGGCUAAACAUUCGCUAUAGUACGACCAUGCAUGUGUCCCCAGACCUAGUUCUUUACCUGGGUCUGGUUUUCUCAAUGCUGGUGACAAGCCAGGUCUGAUUCAUUAAAUGUAUGAGCUGUAUAGUCAUAGGAUGACUGAGAUUUUAAGGUAUUUUUAAUUGGUUUUAAGAGUGACAGCCGCCACUUUAACAUUAUGCUAAUCUGCCUUCUUACCUAAAAAACAUGUAGGGGAAUUCUGUAAUUAUCAGUUGCCAUUAAAUGACUUGUAAACCUUUUAUUUUCUAGGUGAUUCCGAUAUUAUUAGAAGCAUGCCAGAACAGACUGGUGAGAAGUAAACAAGAAAGUUCUCCUUUAAUAAAACUUUGCCAGAGCUCCUUUU